UGUCAGUGAUGAGUAUUGACAAGUAUUACCUGCUCUAAAACUUACAUUUAUUCCCACUUUAGCUCUAGAAUUACUCUGAGUACUCU
rnacentral:snoRNA from 1 species